rnacentral:rRNA from 1 species
UACGGAGGGGGCAAGCGUUAUUCGGAAUUAUUGGGCGUAAAGGGCGCGUAGGCGGCUAGAUGUGUCAAAGGUGAAAUCCCUCGGCUCAACUGAGGAACUGCCUUUGAAACUGUCUGGCUUGAGGCCGGGAGAGGGUAGCGGAAUUCCCAGUGUAGCGGUGAAAUGCGUAGAUAUUGGGAGGAACACCAGUGGCGAAGGCGACUACCUGGCCUGUUCUUGACGCUGAGGCGCGAAAGCUAGGGGAGCAAACGGG